UUGAGCCACACCUCUGCUGUCCUUUCCAGCUGGGACUCUUUGAGCUGACCCAUUCCUGAGGAGAGGUGUUUGCUCUGCUGCUCCAACUCAGAAUGGGAAAUUGCUGUGGUUCCUGCUGUGGUUCCUGCUGUGAUGUUGACAAGGAUCUCAGGAACUCCUAGCUUGUUUGGAGGCACUUCUAUUUGUGUGAGGAAGAAAUAAUGCAAGAUGGCAUUGUGUCACAUGUUUGAAAACACAAGGCUUUGUAACAGUGACCCUCCCAUCCUUUACACUGGGAUUCAUCUCAUUUGAUCUGCUGACCUUAAGACAGGCAACUGGAACAUCCUAGAGAAGAGCCAUGGAUAUUUGUGGACAAGGGCCCCAGAGAGUGGACUCAGGGACACAGCAAUAGGUGGACGAACGGAGGCACAGAGAUGAAUGUGACCAGGUUCAUGAACUCCUCUAAGUAAAGGAGCCAGGAGGUGAACCCAGGCCUGCAGACCAGUGCUCGUGCUCUAACUACUGAACCGAACUGAACUUAUGACUCAGCCAUGGGAUCAGUAGUUACUGUGCAAAGAAGAUCUAGCAUCGGCGUGGAUGUCAGGAAUUCCCUGAGCCAAGGGGAAUCCCAAACACUGUUUGUCAUUAUGAGGUCAGCUUGGUGGUCACAUAACCCGGGGAAGGUCUUGAGCCAUAGAAAUCCAGAUCUUGCCAUAGUCAUUCAUCAGAAAAGGACAUAGGAAGCCUGGUCCAUUUGAAGCCAUGCUUGUGAUCAGUUCAAAGAUUCUGAGGGUUUGGAGGCACCAUGUAGGACAAGCCAGUCAAACUCUGUUUGAAUGCUGGGCUACUACUCAGCACCUGACCUCAAUCUGGUCAGAAUGGAGGAGACCCUUUCAUGGUAUUUGAUGGCAUUGCCAUUAUGAGUAAACCCUAGUCAUGCCGAAAUCCUGUGAGCAUAGGGACACUCCUGGGACAAGGAAAAAUAAGACUCAAAGAAUCAGUUCAUGAUUAACAUUCUGUCCAGAGCUGGUCAGUGCCUGGCCAAUCAGUUCAUGGCAUGGUCACUCUUCAGGGCAUGGCACAAAUAGAACAAGAAUAGGGAGCAUGCUGGGCGGUGCCUGGCUGGCUCCGCCAGAGGAGCAUUUGACUCUUGAUCUCAGGGUCAUGAUUUCAGUUCCCAUGUUGGGCAUGGGCCUAGUUUAAAAACAGAGAGAAAAGAAUCGGGGACAUAGUGUUGUAGAUUUGAUAACAUUAUCCCCAUGAGCCCUAAAAAAAUGCUUGGAUGCCAUGAACUACAGACUUUAGGGACAGUGACCAAAAAGAACUCAAACACUCAUAACAGCCUGCUGUCCCUCAUACUUGUUUUGACGCGCUUGUCCAGCUGGGCCAGGGAGUGUCCAUGCUCCAGUGGGGGCCUUUGCUCCUUCCAGAGCUCUCCCAUUGUUGGCUAGUAAGUGCAAGCAUGGAGAGAGGCCAUGCUUCAUGACUAUAUACACAUAGCCUUGCAAAGCAAGACUAGAAGUCAAACAGCAGCAAAUGAAUAAUGGUGCUUGGUUUUCAAUGAUAGAACUUCAUGAUUGACAAAUCGUCAAUUGGUGAGCUUCCUCACAACGGAUGUGAGAUGAAAUGUAACAGAAAGUCGUGCUUAGAUCUGAAUCUAAGUCUCUCAAUAAAGGGUUGCUUAU